UACGGAGGGUGCGAGCGUUGUCCGGAAUCACUGGGCGUAAAGGGCGCGUAGGUGGCACGUUAAGUGGCUGGUGAAAUCCCGCGGCUCAACUGCGGGGCUGCCGGUCAGACUGGCGAGCUAGAGCACGGUAGGGGCAGAUGGAAUUCCCGGUGUAGCGGUGGAAUGCGUAGAGAUCGGGAAGAAUACCAGUGGCGAAGGCGUUCUGCUGGGCCGUUGCUGACGCUGGAGACGCGAAAGCGUGGGGGAGCAAACAGG
rnacentral:rRNA from 1 species